rnacentral:rRNA from 1 species
CACGUAGGGGGCAAGCGUUGUCCGGACUUAUUGGGCGUAAAGGGCUCGUAGGCGGGUCUUUAAGUCAGGGGUGAAAUCCUGGAGCUCAACUCCAGAACUGCCUUUGAUACUGAAGAUCUUGAGUUCGGGAGAGGUGAGUGGAACUGCGAGUGUAGAGGUGAAAUUCGUAGAUAUUCGCAAGAACACCAGUGGCGAAGGCGGCUCACUGGCCCGAUACUGACGCUGAGGCACGAAAGCGUGGGGAGCAAACAGG